UACAGAGGUCCCGAGCGUUGUUCGGAUUCACUGGGCGUAAAGGGUGCGUAGGUGGUGAGGUAAGUCGGAUGUGAAAUCUCCGGGCUUAACCCGGAAAGUGCAUUGGAAACUACCUUGCUAGAGGAUUUGAGGGGGGAUUGGAAUACUUGGUGUAGCAGUGAAAUGCGUAGAUAUCAAGUGGAACACCAGUGGCGAAGGCGAAUCCCUGGAAAAUACCUGACACUGAGGCACGAAAGCUAGGGGAGCAAACAGG
rnacentral:rRNA from 1 species